AUGAACGCUGGCGGCGUGCCUAAUACCUGCACGUCGAGCGAACAGACGAGGAGCUUGCUCCUCUGACGUUAGCGGCGGACGGGUGAGUAACACGUGGAUAACCUACCUAUAAGACUGGGAUAACUUCGGGAAACCGGAGCUAAUACCGGAUAAUAUAUUGAACCGCAUGGUUCAAUAGUGAAAGACGGUUUUGCUGUCACUUAUAGAUGGAUCCGCGCCGCAUUAGCUAGUUGGUAAGGUAACGGCUUACCAAGGCAACGAUGCGUAGCCGACCUGAGAGGGUGAUCGGCCACACUGGAACUGAGACACGGUCCAGACUCCUACGGGAGGCAGCAGUAGGGAAUCUUCCGCAAUGGGCGAAAGCCUGACGGAGCAACGCCGCGUGAGUGAUGAAGGUCUUCGGAUCGUAAAACUCUGUUAUUAGGGAAGAACAAAUGUGUAAGUAACUAUGCACGUCUUGACGGUACCUAAUCAGAAAGCCACGGCUAACUACGUG
rnacentral:rRNA from 1 species